CAAUAGCGUAUAUUAAAGUUGUUGCAGUUAAAAAGCUCGUAGUUGAAUUUCUGGCGGGCGCGCCGGUCUUCCAAGUGUUGUACUGGGCGCAGUCCGCCAUCCUUGUGGAGAGGGCUCGCAUUGAGUUGCGUGUCGGAUCUGCAUCGUUUACUGUGAAAAAAUUAGAGUGUUUAAAGCAGGCUGUCGCUUGAAUACAUUAGCAUGGAAUAAUAAGAUAGGACUUCGGUCUAUUUUGUUGGUUGCGAACCGAGGUAAUGAUUAAUAGGGAUAGUUGGGGGUAUUCAUAUUUAAUUGUCAGAGGUGAAAUUCUUGGAUUUAUGAAAGAUGAACAACUGCGAAAGCAUUUACCAAGGAUGUUUUCAUUAA
rnacentral:rRNA from 1 species